rnacentral:lncRNA from 1 species
GAGGAGAGUAACCAAGGCAGAGCACAGGAGCUUAGAAGGCAGACAGGAGCCCCAGACAGCACAGACUUUCAGGAUGGAGCUGGGAAGUCGGUCUUCUGAAUAAGCAAGUUUGCUGACUGAACAGAAUGGGGGCACGUUGAGUGCCUGAGAGUGGGCGUUGCUCUGGCAAGAUGACUCACUGGCUUCCUAGGGGAAGGAAGAAUUAAGCCUGCCAUUCUCUUGGAAUUUGGGGAACAACACGGUUUGGAGGAAUCAAGUCUGUCCCUUAGAUGAACACCGUGGCGACCAUUUGAUUACCAACUAUGACAGCAUGGCUAACUGACACACAAGAAUUUCAUUGUAUUCUCUGAAGAAAACAGAAGGCUGGCUCAUUAGAUAAUGCAUUUGCUUUAGAAGAUGAGGCUUGGACCUGAGAAAGCAGGAACAACACGGUUUGGAGGAAUCAAGUCUGUCCCUUAGAUGAACACUGUGGCGACCAUUUGAUUGCCAACAUGGUCUAUUCAAUUCCAACAUGGUCUCUGUCACACGUAGUGUUCCCAUUUAAAAAGUGAAUAUAAAGACUACAGAAACUGUAAUUUAGUUGGCCAAGAGCUUGCCUAGUGCAUAUGAAGACUUGGGUUCUAGCCCCAGCACCACAUAGGCUGGACAUGGUGGCUCGGGCUGCAAUCUGAGCACAUCAGAGAUGGAGAUGGAUGAAGGACCAAGGCCAGUCUGGGUUAUAUGAAACUCAGUCUCAAAAAGAAAGGAAGGAAGGAAGGAAGGAAGGAAGGAAGGAAGGAAGGAAGGGCUCUCAGCCUGAAGAUCAGCACUGGAACCAUGAUAUGACAUGACUCAUGUGUCAGUGAUGUUUAAGGAUGAUAAAAACAAGGCAGGAAUUUCGAUCAAAGCUUCUCUAUAGCGCCAUGAGCCACCAUCAGAAAGGUGGGCAGAUGAGAGCCUCUAAUUCAGGGCAUAAGCUGCACCUCCACCUAUAAAAAUUCCUAUGAGCAACAGCAUGCCCUGGCUGGAACAAUGAUCCAUCACUUCUGCUGAAAACAUUCGUUAGCUCAACAGAUGGCUCUCUUCUGAAGCUUGAGACGAACAGGCAUGAGGAAAUAUCCUGACAAGAGUGAAAUACUGACCUGAGGACCAGAAAAUCAGAGCCCAGGGAGACAGCAUCGUGUGUGAACUGCACCAUUUUCUGGGUGUGCCCUGAUGGAUGCUUUCCCAGAACACAGUAACAAUGCAAUAGCUUUCUUUGUUCAGGCGACCAGCAAGGAAUUUGUAAACAGAG